GCUACAGGCUUAACACAUGCAAGUCGAGGGGCAGCAUGGUCUUAGCUUGCUAAGACUGAUGGCGACCGGCGCACGGGUGAGUAACACGUAUCCAACCUGCCGUCUACUCUUGGACAGCCUUCUGAAAGGAAGAUUAAUACAAGAUGGCAUCAUGAGUCCGCAUGUUCACAUGAUUAAAGGUAUUCCGGUAGACGAUGGGGAUGCGUUCCAUUAGAUAGUAGGCGGGGUAACGGCCCACCUAGUCUUCGAUGGAUAGGGGUUCUGAGAGGAAGAUCCCCCACAUUGGAACUGAGACACGGUCCAAACUCCUACGGGAGGCAGCAGUGAGGAAUAUUGGUCAAUGGGCGAGAGCCUGAACCAGCCAAGUAGCGUGAAGGAUGACUGCCCUAUGGGUUGUAAACUUCUUUUAUAAAGGAAUAAAGUCGGGUAUGCAUACCCGUUUGCAUGUACUUUAUGAAUAAGGAUCGGCUAACUCCGUGCCAGCAGCCGCGGUAAUACGGAGGAUCCGAGCGUUAUCCGGAUUUAUUGGGUUUAAAGGGAGCGUAGAUGGAUGUUUAAGUCAGUUGUGAAAGUUUGCGGCUCAACCGUAAAAUUGCAGUUGAUACUGGAUAUCUUGAGUGCAGUUGAGGCAGGCGGAAUUCGUGGUGUAGCGGUGAAAUGCUUAGAUAUCACGAAGAACUCCGAUUGCGAAGGCAGCCUGCUAAGCUGCAACUGACAUUGAGGCUCGAAAGUGUGGGUAUCAAACAGGAUUAGAUACCCUGGUAGUCCACACGGUAAACGAUGAAUACUCGCUGUUUGCGAUAUACGGCAAGCGGCCAAGCGAAAGCGUUAAGUAUUCCACCUGGGGAGUACGCCGGCAACGGUGAAACUCAAAGGAAUUGACGGGGGCCCGCACAAGCGGAGGAACAUGUGGUUUAAUUCGAUGAUACGCGAGGAACCUUACCCGGGCUUAAAUUGCAGAUGAAUUACGGUGAAAGCCGUAAGCCGCAAGGCAUCUGUGAAGGUGCUGCAUGGUUGUCGUCAGCUCGUGCCGUGAGGUGUCGGCUUAAGUGCCAUAACGAGCGCAACCCUUGUUGUCAGUUACUAACAGGUUCCGCUGAGGACUCUGACAAGACUGCCAUCGUAAGAUGUGAGGAAGGUGGGGAUGACGUCAAAUCAGCACGGCCCUUACGUCCGGGGCUACACACGUGUUACAAUGGGGGGUACAGAGGGCCGCUACCACGCGAGUGGAUGCCAAUCCCCAAAACCUCUCUCAGUUCGGACUGGAGUCUGCAACCCGACUCCACGAAGCUGGAUUCGCUAGUAAUCGCGCAUCAGCCACGGCGCGGUGAAUACGUUCCCGGGCCUUGUACACACCGCCCGUCAAGCCAUGGGAGCCGGGGGUACCUGAAGUGCGUAACCGCGAGGAGCGCCCUAGGGUAAAACUGGUGACUGGGGCU
rnacentral:rRNA from 1 species